GAUCCUGGGCCAGGAUGAACGCUAGCUACAGGCUUAACACAUGCAAGUCGAGGGGCAGCAUGGUCUUAGCUUGCUAAGGCCGAUGGCGACCGGCGCACGGGUGAGUAACGCGUAUCCAACCUGCCGUCUACUCUUGGACAGCCUUCUGAAAGGAAGAUUAAUACAAGAUGGCAUCAUGAGUCCGCAUGUUCACAUGAUUAAAGGUAUUCCGGUAGACGAUGGGGAUGCG
rnacentral:rRNA from 1 species